rnacentral:rRNA from 1 species
UACGAGGGGGGGCGAGCGUUUGUUCGGAAUUAUUGGGCGUAAAGGGUGCGUAGGCGGUUUGGUAAGUCUUGUGUGAAAUCUACAGGCUCAACUUGUAGUCUGCACGAGAAACUGCCGGGCUUGAGUGUGGGAGAGGUGAGUGGAAUUCCUGGUGUAGCGGUGAAAUGCGUAGAUAUCAGGAGGAACACCUGUGGCGAAAGCGGCUCACUGGACCAUAACUGACGCUGAUGCACGAAAGCUAGGGGAGCAAACAGG